rnacentral:lncRNA from 1 species
AAAACGGGAUUGCAUUGCGUCUGCGACCAGGUACAGACGGUGAGCAUCGGUGGUGUUUGGAUUCUCUACAGUGGGCGAAGGACGAGGCGUGUUUCACUGUCACAAGGGGGGCGACAGCAGUGGAGCGCCCGUGACCGACGAGUGGGUAUGGAUCCUGGAUACCGUUCGUUGGAGUGCGUUGGCGAAGGGGUUGACGCGGUUGCCGGUUUUGUGAAUUCUCAAGACCAUGGCCGGCUCACUCGAUGUUGGUGUGGCGGUGUACAGGCGGAGCCGGUGAGGAUCGCGAUUCCUGUGCGCUCGGAUAUAUAUCCGGGUGCCCGGGACCGACGAGUGGGUAUGGAUCGUGGAUACCGUUUGUUAUAGUUGGUUGGCGAAGGGGUUGACGCGGUUGCCGGUUUUGUGAAUUCUCAAGGGCAUUGUCGGCUCACUCGAUGUUGGUGUGGCGGUGUACAGGCGGAGCCAGUGAGGAUCGCGAUUCCUGUGCGCUCGGAUGUAUGUUCGGUUGGGUGUCUUGAUCGGGUUUAAGUCGGAGGUCUAGAGAGUGUAUACUGAAAGACGGUCGGUGGUCCUUAUUUCUGCGCACUCGAACAGUAGGCAAAAUGGCUCGGCGAGUGACAGCUGCGUAUACGGAGUCCAAAUAGGUAUAGAGCCGGGGAGGUCACAGGGCUGAGACACAGCCUCACUUGGAUGCCUGUACACACUGCAUUUGUUGAGGUGUCCUUGUGGCGAUUGUGUAUGAGCGCGACCUCGACAAUCAGUCCCUUCCCCCCUUUGUAGACAAACACUAGAUGCGCUGAAAAGUGCCUAAUUUGACGUUGGCUGUGAUUUCUGCUGCCUCGGACGCUAUGAGGGGGAGGAACGGCUAUGCUGUCAUCAUGUAAUGCUACUAAGUCAUGUACUACACACUGCUAAGUACGGUUUACCACAAUUGGGAGAGGAUCUAGUCCUUGUGUUGCGU